rnacentral:rRNA from 1 species
UCUUGGUCAUUUAGAGGAAGUAAAAGUCGUAACAAGGUUUCCGUAGGUGAACCUGCGGAAGGAUCAUUAAAGAAAUUUAAUAAUUUUGAAAAUGGAUUUUUUUUUUUUUGUUUUGGCAAGAGCAUGAGAGCUUUUACUGGGCAAGAAGACAAGAGAUGGAGAGUCCAGCCGGGCCUGCGCUUAAGUGCGCGGUCUUGCUAGGCUUGUAAGUUUCUUUCUUGCUAUUCCAAACGGUGAGAGAUUUCUGUGCUUUUGUUAUAGGACAAUUAAAACCGUUUCAAUACAACACACUGUGGAGUUUUCAUAUCUUUGCAACUUUUUCUUUGGGCAUUCGAGCAAUCGGGGCCCAGAGGUAACAAACACAAACAAUUUUAUCUAUUCAUUAAGUUUUUGUCAAAAACAAGAAUUUUCGUAACUGGAAAUUUUAAAAUAUUAAAAACUUUCAACAACGGAUCUCUUGGUUCUCGCAUCGAUGAAGAACGCAGCGAAAUGCGAUACGUAAUGUGAAUUGCAGAAUUCCGUGAAUCAUCGAAUCUUUGAACGCACAUUGCGCCCCUUGGUAUUCCAGGGGGCAUGCCUGUUUGAGCGUCAUUUCCUUCUCAAACAUUCUGUUUGGUAGUGAGUGAUACUCUUUGGAGUUAACUUGAAAUUGCUGGCCUUUUCAUUGGAUGUUUUUUUUCCAAAGAGAGGUUUCUCUGCGUGCUUGAGGUAUAAUGCAAGUACGGUCGUUUUAGGUUUUACCAACUGCGGCUAAUCUUUUUUAUACUGAGCGUAUUGGAACGUUAUCGAUAAGAAGAGAGCGUCUAGGCGAACAAUGUUCUUAAAGUUUGACCUCAAAUCAGGUAGGAGUACCCGCUGAACUUAAGCAUAUCAAUAAGCGGAG